AAUCGCCCCCUUGUGGGUUCGUUUCCUCCCUGAACUUGGGCCGCAAUUCUUGCGGCCUUUUUUUUGGAAUUU
rnacentral:sRNA from 1 species